rnacentral:rRNA from 1 species
AUGGCAUUCAUGUCUCAGCUCAUCCUCUCGGCCGCCGUCCUCCUCGCCGUACUCGCCGCAACCUCGGCCACCGUCGGGACUCAGUGCGUUCCAGGGUCGGACAUUCCAUACAACCCACUACAAGCAUGCCGCAACCUUUUGUCCACUAAAAUAUGCAGCGUAGGGCCCGUGUACGCCUCCGCUGGGAUGUUGAAGAGGCGGUGUUGCGACCAGUUGUCGCGCGUCCCAGCAUACUGCCGGUGCGAGGCGCUGCGCAUGCUCAUGGAUGGGGUAGAAACUCCGCAGGGUGUGUUCGAGGGCGGCCUACUCCAGGACAUACCCAGUUGCCCAAGGCUUACCAGGAAGUACACCAUGGGCCUCGUCGGCCCGGAGGAGUGCAACUUGGAAACCAUCCACGGCAGCCCGCACUGCCCCACUCCCAUCACUCGUGGAGUGGUCGUGUGA